AUGACCCUCACGAGAUCUGGACCGUACGAAGACCGACUGACGGCUCAGGACACCCGUAUCGUGUCGAAGGAAACCCCAUUUCUCUCUCUCUCUCUCCCUCCCGCACUGAUCGCCAACCGCCGCCGCCGGGAAGACGAGCUCCGCCUUGAAACCCCCCAAAACCCUACCGCACCUCCUCCCGUCCUCGCCUCCGGAACGAUGCCGCUGGGGCUGAUACUGAGCUCGAUCGGGAGGUCGAUGCGGCGGAAGCGGACGUCCUCGCUCAACAUCCUCUCCUCCAAGAGGGCGCCCCGGGAUUACUACAAGGGCAAGAACUGCAAGCCCACCGGGUUCCACACCCGCAAAGGUGGCUAUGUUAUGGUGGAUGCAAAGUUACCAAGAUUCGUGGUCCCUGACUUGACUGAUUUUAAGUUGAAGCCAUAUGUAUCACAAUGUGCCAGGGACGAGCUCGGAGCCUCCUCAACCGAAAACAAGAACUGA
rnacentral:rRNA from 1 species